AGCGAACGCUGGCGGCAGGCCUAACACAUGCAAGUCGAGCGCCGUAGCAAUACGGAGCGGCAGACGGGAGAGUAACACGUGGGAACGUGCCCUUUGGUUCGGAACAACCCAGGGAAACUUGGGCUAAUACCGGAUAAGCCCUUACGGGGAAAGAUUUAUCGCCGAAGGAUCGGCCCGCGUCUGAUUAGCUAGUUGGUGGGGUAAUGGCCCACCAAGGCGACGAUCAGUAGCUGGUCUGAGAGGAUGAUCAGCCUCACUGGGACUGAGACACGGCCCAGACUCCUACGGGAGGCAGCAGUGGGGAAUAUUGGACAAUGGGCGCAAGCCUGAUCCAGCCACGCCGCGUGGGUGAUGAAGGCCCUAGGGUUGUAAAGCCCUUUCGGCGGGGAAGAUAAUGACGGUACCCGCAGAAGAAGCCCCGGCUAACUUCGUGCCAGCCGCCGCCGUAACAC
rnacentral:rRNA from 1 species